AGCAGGAAUGGCAGCAGCUGUCUGUCCUCUGCUGCUGUUAAUAGCAACAUAGAAAAUAAUUUGUCUGAUUAGUUUGUCCUUGUAGAGCAAUUAGAAAGAAAACUUGAAACAUAUUUGCCUUGAGACCAGAGAAAGCCCCUACCCAAACUCAGUUACUGAGUCACCCUUCUACUCCCGACGGAAGUGCAGUCCACCCUUCAGAAACCUGAGCAGCUGUCCUGCACCUUUCCUGGAGGUUCAUAUCCUUCCUGAGCUGUGCCCACAGAAACGAUUGAGGACAUUCACCAGCCAGACAGUCACAGAGUUCAUCAUGGCAGGGAACCAGCCAGUACGGCAAAAGGAAGAGGUCCCCACUUGCCACCGGCCUCAUCAGAUCCAGGUCUAGCCCCGAUCUUCGCCCCUUGUCAGCAGGAAGCAGCUCCAGAAGAAGAGACCUUCGCCCAACUAUCAUAAAACAAAAGCCUGGAAUGAUAGGUCUCCCACCACCUCAGCAGCUAUUAAGUAUAGUAGCUGCCCUCUUCCUAUGGUGCCUUGCCCCCUCCCCUGUGUGACAUCAUGCCAAGAUGGUUGCUCCCACCAAAGAACAAACCCUUCUUCCCAGCAUGCCCCUGUUCCAACCUAGACAGUAACCUAAUACUUGCUCACCUCCUACCACCUAGUGACAUCACCGGCUCCUCCAUUCCCUAGUCACUACCUCACUCAACCCCACCUUAGCCCCUACAAGCCCCACCCCAGUCUCUAUAAAAGACUCUCCCUGCCCCAGCCAUAUUGCUUUUGUCUCUCCUUUGUUCAGAGACAGCCCGGCAGAUCUAUUCCCCUAAUAAAGGCUUGUUGUGGCCUGGUCUGGUCUUGGUCUUCGGCCCUUUUACCUGACAUUUCUGGUGCCGUGACUCGGAUGGUAGAUGGUCCAUUAAGGGACGAUCCCCCGCAGGACGGGGUUGAUUGACCUUUUGGCCAUCUCCAACGGACCUAUCUGCCGUUGCCAGGACCCUCCGGGGCUUUCUACCUUUGCCAUUGCUGACGCUACACAUCCACACCGGUCACCAAUGUCUGGGUGAGUAGGGAGUUCAGCCUCCCUCUCGUCGGGUUCUCUGUCUCGUUCUCUCUCCCUCCGGGGACUUCUCAGAAAUCCAAGCGCUUGGUCAGAGAAACCCCCACGGCCUCUGGGCCCAGGACCGUGCCCCUGGGAGACGUCCCAUCGGCCCGCCUCCUCUCGUUCUCUCCCUCUGGGAGACUCACUCGGAGAUUGUCAAAGGAGACAAGGACGCUUCUCCCCUUUGUCUUUCUCCCCAGGGGCUGCCUCCCCCUCACCCGCUCUAAUCAGGGGGCCCAACAAUCCAAACCCCGCCCCUCAACGCCUCUGGGCUGCCUUCUGGCACAACUCAAACCCCUCGGAUUGUUGGGACCAGACUUUAGGCCAAAAAGAUUUGUUUUCUAUUGUAAUCAGGUUUGGCCUCAGUAUAAAUUAGAUAAUGGGUUUCCACGCCCCAAAAAUGGCACUUUCAAUUUUAACAUACUGUGUGAUUUACACAACUUCUGUCAGUGCAAUGGCAAAUGGUCAGAAAUCCCCUACAUACAAGCCUUUUCUACCUAUGCUCUUAACCCUCCCUCUGUCAAACCUGUUCUUCUCAAGUACUCCUAGCCUGAGCUGAUCACUCACCGCUCAUACCUCCCCCACUUUAUAACUCUGUUGAUAAGAAAAAGUUUUAAAGCUUAAUAGAUUAGCUAUUAAAGUAGUUGUGGAAGCAAACUAAGUAGUGUAUCCCUUUAAAAACUUGCAUUAGCCCAUUGCUUCUGCUGUUCAAAGUAAAGGUUAUAUAGCUUCUUUGAUUUGUAGCUCCACUAUAGAUAACAUCCUAACUAAAGAAUGAAGUAAAAAUCCUUGAACAAACUUGUGAUAUAUGUGCCUUAAUUGUCAUGUGUUUAGGGCUGUAAUCAGUGACAGAAACCACCUGUGUCUAACCAUUAAACAGGAAUUAGAACUUUAUUUACUUAACAAAGACCACUAGGGAUGAGAUAAUGAUGGACAAAAGUAUAAAAUGUUUAUAGUGAGUCGGAGACAAAAUAUUUAAAAAGCUAUAAGUAAAAGAUAUAUUUUUGAUAUAAAAGGAUUUUAUAUGUUUGUCUUAUUAGCAGGACAAGACCAAAAGGCCUAAGUACAUCAAGAAGGUGUGCGAAAGUGAUUUAUAAAGGAAAUAUAUGUUUACUUGUUGGUUUCAAGUUUAUUAUAAAAGGUUUACAGGAAUAGAGGUUUCAUUCCUUCUGAUUUUAAUUCUACAAGAGAUCUCUGUUAAUUGACUUACAAAAAGUUUUAAAUAGUCUUAUUUAUAAUUAUAAACCUAAAAUUAUAAAGAGAUUAUAAUUCCAUUGGGCUAAAUAUAUUUGAGUGCACUCUAGUUUUAGAAAUUGUCUUAUAUCUUUGUUUUUGUCCAAUCCUACAGCUGUUUUAUUUAUAGAUAAAGGUUAUUAAGUUCAAGGCAUGCUCCCCUUGGUGAACAAAGGAGCAGCCGCAUGGAAAUAUUUUCCAGUCUUUGUUCACUAGGGGGACCUCAACAGUUUUCAUCUUACAAGAGACUGACCCAAUAGUUUUCAUAGCCUUAUAAAAGACUUACAGGAAUAAAUAUUAUUUAAAUAUAUUAUUAUACUGUUUAUAUCAAUUGUCAUCAAAGGGAUAAAUUCUAAAUAUGUUAUUAUGGUGUGCUUACACUGGUCAUUUUCAAAGGACUAAAUAUCCUGUAAAAAACAACAAUAACAAGGUUUUAUUUUUUCUAGUGUACUAAAUGUAUUUAUACUUUCUUACUGUACAGGUUUUCUAAUAUUUGUUUAUGAUAAUAACCUCUUUUUGAUUCAGGUAUUUGCCUUUUCAUACACUCUAGCUAUUUAUGAUAACAGAUACAUAUACGGGGUAUUUUCUUUAGAUGGUAUCCUAUCAAAAGAUUAUUUAUUUAUUUUUUUAAAAGAUAAUUUAGGUAAAAACUUUUGGUGUUUUAAAAAAAAUGAGUACAUUUAAUGAUGGCUAUUUUAUAUCAAGAUGGACAUUUAAAUGUGUUACAAAGGUAAAGUCAUCAUAAUUGUCAUGUUAAAAUAUUAUUUGUGGCUCUUUUUCUGUUAAUAUUCUACAGGAAUUCAACUACUAAAAAACAACCAUGACUGAUGACAGUAACAGUUCUCUAUAUUUUAAAUUCCAAAAUGUUUGUUAUUCAGGUAAAACUAUAAUAGUUAAGUUCAUUAUUCUUGUUACAAUGCUAAUGCUAUUGACCUUCUCUUCUGGGUGUUCAACAACUAAAGUUUGGAGACCAAAACUAAAAAGUAACUGGGCUAUGAGGACAGCCAAUAUUUUGGCCCUGGCCCCUCAAGGUCAACAAAGUUCCAGGACAUGAGGGAACCUUCUCUACAGGGUCCUACAUCUUUGGUAAGUCACUCAACCUCCUAAACUGGGAGAUUGCUGGACACCAGAGGACAAUGUACUGUGUGCCAAAGGAGGGUCACCAAGAAAAAACUCUCCACUGCUUUCACUGAAAGCAACUUGGUCAAACAAGGCCAUAACCCAUCCAGAUGGCUGACACUGACAGAGAAGCAGAGAGGCACUAUGCAUGGUUCCAAAGUAAUGGCCUGGGGAGACUUAACUGACCUUAAUAGAUAACAAGAGGUUCAUAUUGAUUGACACAGGUCUCACUUUAACUUGGUCUUAAACACCCAGCAGAAAAAAUAACCAAAAGAGGCACAAAACAAUGACAUAAUAAUAAAGCUAGACUUCAGAAAAAUUAAGACAUAGCCCACCCAUUAAAAUCUUUUGGUUCACUCAUGACACAGCCAUUUCAAAAAGACAAAACUUUGGGUACUAAAGAGAAGCAAAAAUCAUUAAUUAGCUACAAGUGUGUACAGAUUCUUUUCAAAAAAAAUUAAAAGAAGUUAUUUACAGGUAACCAAUCCUAGAAACCACUGGUCUCCAGAUCUCUCCUUUUAGAUAAGUGUUUUUCUGAUUCUGUGAUAACUAAUUAACUAUCGUGUAAUGAUAAAAAAAAAAACAACAAAAAACCAUAAAGUAAGAGUAUUGAGAAAAAAUCACGUGCUUGUCAGCCACAGUCAGGAUAAGUUCUAUACCAAGCAGCUACAAGAUUUAUUCCUUUUAAAAUAAUGUACAUCCUUGUUCUCUGUUUAUGAUGCCUCUUCUCAUUGUGCUCAUACUUUCUGGAUACCUACCCGUGUCUAAAAAGAUCAAGCCUUUUAUGCUACACUUGAUCACCUUAAGUCGUCCAGUGUCCUUGUUGAGGUUAUCAGUUCUCUUUAUUUUUAAAUAUAUCUAGGAGGCCUCCAAAAACUGAGAGAUACAGGAAUAAAACUGUCCUGGCCUUGAAUUUAAAGAAGAAGUCAGGUUCAUAGUAACACUACACUCAUUGGUAUGUUGGCCUCCAAAAGACAUUUGCUCAGUUACAUACACCUUUUAUAUUCCCCCCCCCAAAAAAAAGGAUUAUAAAGAUUAUAUAAAUUGUGUUUAUCACUUUUCCACUCAUUCUCUAAGAGCAAGGACAUGACACAUGGGCCCUUAGAUCAGGAGCUAUGAUCUCUUCCAUAACAGUCUCUUACUUCUAUAACAAAUGAGCCCCUAAACAUCCAGCUGUCUCUGUAAAACCUAUGUAAAUAAUAAAUAAAAAAUUACAUGUCAAAUGAAAAAAAUUAAAACUCAAUGGGCCAGAUAGAUAUGCCCCCAAGGUACUAAUCAAUACUGGGGUACGUUUGGUUCCUGGAGCUCAUGGCUCACCUGGCUAUUACUACUCUUGGGACCCCUCAGUAUUAUCUGUUUAAUUCUCUGUUUUGGACCGUGCCUGGUUCAGCUGUUUUCAAAAUUUCUUGCAGAAACGAUUGAGGACAUUCACCAGCCAGACAGUCACAGAGUUCAUCAUGGCAGGGAACCAGCCAGUACGGCAAAAGGAAGAGGUCCCCACUUGCCACCGGCCUCAUCAGAUCCAGGUCUAGCCCCGAUCUUCGCCCCUUGUCAGCAGGAAGCAGCUCCAGAAGAAGAGACCUUCGCCCAACUAUCAUAAAACAAAAGCCUGGAAUGAUAGGUCUCCCACCACCUCAGCAGCUAUUAAGUAUAGUAGCUGCCCUCUUCCUAUGGUGCCUUGCCCCCUCCCCUGUGUGACAUCAUGCCAAGAUGGUUGCUCCCACCAAAGAACAAACCCUUCUUCCCAGCAUGCCCCUGUUCCAACCUAGACAGUAACCUAAUACUUGCUCACCUCCUACCACCUAGUGACAUCACCGGCUCCUCCAUUCCCUAGUCACUACCUCACUCAACCCCACCUUAGCCCCUACAAGCCCCACCCCAGUCUCUAUAAAAGACUCUCCCUGCCCCAGCCAUAUUGCUUUUGUCUCUCCUUUGUUCAGAGACAGCCCGGCAGAUCUAUUCCCCUAAUAAAGGCUUGUUGUGGCCUGGUCUGGUCUUGGUCUUCGGCCCUUUUACCUGACACUAUUAAUUAGUAUGGUUGAGCCAUUCCACAAGGUAUACAUAUUUCAAACCUGUUAUACAUAAUAAAUACAGACAAUUUUGUUACAGAAUAAAAUAAAUGUCACAAACAAAAUGAUUACAAAUAUUGUGCUGAAUAAGAAGUAAUAUUAAGGUAAAGUUUUAUCAAAUUUCAGGAUUUGGGCUUCCAACUGGGAAUUACAGAAAUAAAAUUUCUGAAUGACAAUACAAAUCCUUAUGGAAAAUUUAUUUCAUUUUUACCUGUCAUUCCUCCAUAGAAGCAGAGAGGAAUUUUACCUCCAGAAAAGAAAGUGGGCUGAAGAUUGGCUGAAGGAGGAGAAACAAUCUAGUACACUCUAUUGAGCAUUUACUGGGGGGACACCAAGCAGGGAUACUAAGCCCCAUUUUGUAAAUGAGGAAAUAGAGGCCUAGAGAAUGAUUCUUGCAAAGUCACACCAAGGCGAUGAGCUAAUAUACAAACUUGUCUCACCUAACUGCAGAGUCUGAGUUUUCCUUCUGCCCUUUAACCUCAAGGGUUUCUUGGGCUUGGCUAGGGGGCCUAGCCAGAAGGGGAGGGCUUGUGAAGCCGGUGGAGGAAAACCUGUCAAUCACAGAGGUCUGCGGGUUAGGGAGCGGUGACUCAUUGCUCAGCCUUGAUGACUCCCCCACCCUGCCCGCCUUCUUCCUUCUAAAAGGGCAGGGUUUCCUAACCUUGGCUCAAUUAACAUUUCAGGCUGCACAAAUCUUUGUAGUCAGGGGCGGUCCCCUGCUUAGUAGGAUGUUCGGUUGCAUUCCUGACUUCGAUUCACUGUGCAACAGCGAUCUUUUCAGUUGAGACAAGAAAACAUAUGCUAGACUUCCAAAAGGCCCCUAUGAUGAAGAGUAAAAAGCACUGUUUUAUGGUGACCAGCCAUCCCAGUUUGCCAGGAAUUCAGUGCCCAAACCAGGAUAGUCCUGAACAAAUUGGGAUGUUCGGUGCUCUACAAGUGGAAUUGCAUCUCCUGGUUAAAUAAAAGCUGCGCUGGUAUCUGGCUGGGCAGGGUCUGGUGUUCUGUGUUAUGUCUGCUUGUGCUGAUGUCUUGGUUCUUGAAUCCUCUUUGAGGUUUGUUUACAAGGAGGUCGAGGAAAAGGAACCCAGGGUCAGAAAGUAGCAAUUUUAGAUAGCAGUUUGUGUAACAAGCAAGGUACACUCUUAAGCAGAGCUAACUUUUACUGAAGGCAGGACAUUCCCAGACUGGGCAGUGGCCAGCUCCGGGGAAGGCCAGAGCCUGGACAGAGCUGGGAGGGGUCCAAGUGUGCAGAGUCAGAGGUGCCAACUGCUGCUGGGACCAGGUUGGUUUCUUGUUUGUAUUUUUAGAACUUGGAAGAGAGAUUGAGGGUUGUUGCUAACUGGGCUUUUUCCAGUCCACAAGAGGAUCCACCCUCAUGUCCGGAGGGAGAGUUUUUGAUCUUAAGUGGUCUUAGUAGAAUGAACAUGGCUCUGCAAGGGGAGAAGGGAAAUUAAAGGCACAAGGCAAAUGUAUGUGGAUGGAGUCUAUUGGGUCAGACAAGGUCAGCCUGGGGCCUGAGUCCCCUUGUAAGACCGAGGGCCUUACCAAACGCUCCAAGGAGCUGACUAUAGUGAAGCACACCCAGGGAUCCCAGCGGUGCCUCCAGAAUGCAAGGCCAAGGGCCUUACCAAAUGCUCCAAGGAGCUGAAGUGGAGCACACCCGAGGAUCCCAGUGGUGCCUUCAGAAUGUGAGACCAAGGCCUUACCAAAUGCUCCAAGGAGCUAGCUACAGCGAGGACCACCCGGGAAGGAACACACCGG
ensembl:lncRNA